rnacentral:rRNA from 1 species
CAGCCGCCACGGGAAUACGUAGGGUGCAAGCGUUAAUCGGAAUUACUGGGCGUAAAGCGUGCGCAGGCGGUGUUGUAAGACUGAUGUGAAAUCCCCGGGCUCAACCUGGGAACUGCAUUGGUGACUGCAACGCUGGAGUGCGGCAGAGGGGGAUGGAAUUCCGCGUGUAGCAGUGAAAUGCGUAGAUAUGCGGAGGAACACCGAUGGCGAAGGCAAUCCCCUGGGCCUGCACUGACGCUCAUGCACGAAAGCGUGGGGAGCAAACAGGAUUAGAUACCCCCGUAGUCCCUGUCUCUUAUAC